rnacentral:sRNA from 1 species
GAUACGCGAGCCACGAGAGAGGGGCCACUCGGGACCGCGGUGCGCGACUUCUCGGAAGUUGGGGGACUAAAAGGGGUCUGAUUUUGGGGGUCGGUCGGUAUUGAAGACCCAGAAAGCCAGGGGAAGUAGAGGACCUGAAGGAACUGGGCUGUUACUGAGGCGGAGACACGGGUGAUGAUUGGCUUUCUGGGGAGAGAGGAAGUCCUGUGAUUGGCCAGA